ACCAGACUCCUACGGGAGGCAGCAGUGGGGAAUAUUGCACAAUGGGGGAAACCCUGAUGCAGCGACGCCGCGUGAGUGAAGAAGUAUUUCGGUAUGUAAAGCUCUAUCAGCAGGGAAGAAAAUGACGGUACCUGAUUAAGAAGCCCCGGCUAACUACGUGCCAGCAGCCGCGGUAAUACGUAGGGGGCAAGCGUUAUCCGGAUUUACUGGGUGUAAAGGGAGCGUAGACGGCAGCGCAAGUCUGAAGUGAAAUGCCGGGGCUUAACUUGUAGACUGCAGUUGAAACUGGUUUUCUUGAGUGAAGUAGAGGUUGGCGGAAUUCCGAGUGUAGCGGUGAAAUGCGUAGAUAUUCGGAGGAACACCGGUGGCGAAGGCGGCCAACUGGGCUUUAACUGACGCUGAGGCUCGAAAGUGUGGGGAGCAAACAGGAUUAGAUACCCGCGUAC
rnacentral:rRNA from 1 species